rnacentral:rRNA from 1 species
UGGGGAAUUGUUCGCAAUGGGCGCAAGCCUGACGACGCAACGCCGCGUGGAGGACGAAGAUCUUCGGGUCGUAAACUCCUUUCGAUCGGGAAGAAUGGCUCCGGGGUUAACAGCCCCGGGGAAUGACGGUACCGAGAGAAGAAGCCCCGGCUAACUCUGUG